CCUACGGGGUGCAGCAGUGGGGAAUAUUGGGCAAUGGGCGCAAGCCUGACCCAGCAACGCCGCGUGAAGGAAGAAGGCUUUCGGGUUGUAAACUUCUUUUGACAGGGAAGAGUAGAAGACGGUACCUGUCGAAUAAGCCACGGCUAACUACGUGCCAGCAGCCGCGGUAAUACGUAGGUGGCAAGCGUUGUCCGGAUUUACUGGGUGUAAAGGGCGUGUAGCCGGGUUGACAAGUCAGAUGUGAAAUCCUGCGGCUUAACCGCAGAACUGCAUUUGAAACUGUUGAUCUUGAGUACUGGAGAGGCAGACGGAAUUACUAGUGUAGCGGUGAAAUGCGUAGAUAUUAGGAGGAACACCAGUGGCGAAGGCAGUCUGCUGGACAGCAACUGACGGUGAGGCGCGAAAGCGUGGGGAGCAAACAGGAUUAGAUACCCUAGUAGUC
rnacentral:rRNA from 1 species